AUAUUUUGUCUUCUAUAAAUAGAGGAGGAAAGCCAAGCCAAAUGCAUCACCACUCAGCCAAGCCAAGCAUAGUUAAUAGUUGCAAGUCUCUCUGUUUCUCUGUGGCUUUGAGAGAGUUGAGUGAAAAUGAAGGCAUCAUAUUCAUACAUUGCAAUUGCAUUGUACCUUGUGGUUGUGGUGCUGUUGGGCAAAGCAGAUGUUUCAAUGGCAGUAACAUGCAACCCAACAGAACUAAGUCCCUGUGCAGGAGCAAUAACUUCUUCAACUCCUCCAUCCACAAUAUGCUGCACCAAGAUCAAGCAACAGAAGCCCUGCCUCUGCCAGUAUCUCAACAACCCCAACCUCAAGAAGUUUGUCAACACCCCAAAUGCCAGGAAAGUUGCUAGGACUUGUGGCACUCCCUUCCCCAAGUGCUAGCUACAUACAUCCAUGGAUGAUGCAUGAUGUCUCACAAACACCUUCAGCAAUACAAUCCAAUACAAUCAAGGGGAGGAGGGACUUAUAUAUAUAUAUAUAUAUAUAUAUAUAUAUAUAUUAUAUAUAUGUGUGUGUGCGCGUGCGCACGUAUCUUUAUCUUGCUCAUUAAUUAGUUCCAUGAUUUGCCUAAUAGAGAUUAGAGAGAGUUAACUCAUAUGUGCUUAAUUUGGUGUGUUUUAUUUUAUGGCAUAUUAAUAUCCAUCUGUAUUCUAUAAGCUAUGUAUUUUAGUAAAAGGCACUACUUGUUGUUACAUGCCACAUGCCAGCAUUUUCAGUGUCUUCUCAGUCUCUUGGUUUGUUGUGUGGUGUAUCAACGUAUCAGUGUAUCAGUGUAUCAGUAGUAGUGGUGGUAAAGUGGUCUAUAUGAGAAUUUGAAUCGUGUCUAAAUGCCCCAACCCAAGCUUUAUUAAUCUUCUUUGUCU
rnacentral:lncRNA from 1 species